rnacentral:rRNA from 1 species
UGGGGAAUAUUGCACAAUGGGCGAAAGCCUGAUGCAGCGACGCCGCGUGAGGGAUGACGGCCUUCGGGUUGUAAACCUCUUUCAGCAGGGAAGAAGCGAAAGUGACGGUACCUGCAGAAGAAGCGCCGGCUAACUACGUGCCAGCAGCCGCGGUAAUACGUAGGGCGCAAGCGUUGUCCGGAAUUAUUGGGCGUAAAGAGCUCGUAGGCGGUUAGUCGCGUCUGCUGUGAAAACUCGAGGCUCAACCUCGGGCUUGCAGUGGGUACGGGCUGACUAGAGUGCGGUAGGGGGUGACUGGAAUUCCUGGUGUAGCGGUGGAAUGCGCAGAUAUCAGGAGGGAACACCGAUGGCGAAGGCAGGUCACUGGGCCGCAACUGACGCUGAGGAGCGAAAGCAUGGGGAGCGAACAGGAUUGAGAUACCCUGGUAGUCCAUGCCGUAAACGUUGGGCACUAGGUGUGGGGUCCAUUCCACGGAUUCCGUGCCGCAGCAAACGCAUUAAGUGCCCCGCCUGGGGAGU